ensembl:lncRNA
CCGGGGGAUCCCCAAGGCUGCUGGGGAAUUUUUGGGGGCCACAAGGAGAAGUUUGGGGAGGUGGAGGGCAGGACCGAGGUGGGGGCUCCGUGUUUUUUGGGGGGUUCUGGGAAUUGGGGGGGGGUCCCCAAGCCUGAGGGAAUUUGGGGGGGUCCCCAAGGUCUGAGGGAAUGGGGGGGUCCCGGGGGUCCCGUGGCCCCCCCUGAGCGCAGCGAUGCCCCCCCAGUGAAGGACAAGAGGACACGCAGGUGGACUCGGAGGGCGCGGCCCAUGAAGGACGAGACCUUCGGGGAGUACCGGUCCCUGGAGAGCGACGGCGAGGAGAAGGCGUCGGGCAGCUCCGGGCGCUCUCUGGGCGCGGCGGGCGCGGCGCUGGGCAGCGACGACAGCCUGCCGGAUACGGCGCAGCGCCGACGUGCAGUUCAACGAGGACGGCUCCUUCAUCGGCCAGUACAGCGGCGCCCGCGGCGCCACCGCCGGCAGCUCCGGCCCCGCCAGCCCCUCGGCCGCCGCCCCGCUCGACUGACCCCACCCGUGGGUGCCCCUGGGGGUGUCCCCGCGGCCGUGGGGACGCGGUGGGGGCAGCUCAGUGUCACCCUGGGACCCCCCCCGUGGCAGUGGGGACCCCCCCCCAUGUCACAAUGGGACCCCCAAGUGUCACCGUGGGACCCUCCCGUGGCAGUGGGGACCCCCCCGUGGCAGUGGGGACCCCCCCGUGACGUAGCGGGACCCCCAUGGCCCGGGGGACCCCCCCAGUGUCACAGUGGGGACCCCCCCAAGUGUCACAGUGGGACCCCCCCCAUGUCACAAUGGGACCCCCAAGUGUCACAGUGGGACCCUCACAGCUCUGAGGACCCCCCAUGGCCCUGGGACCCCCCCCCCAUGUCACAGUGGGGCCCCCCCAUGGCCCUGGGGACCCCCCAAUGUCACAAUGGGGACCCCCAGUGUCACAAUGGGACCCCCCCAGUGUCACAGUGGGACACCGCCAGUGUCACAGUGGGACCCCCCAAUGUCACAGUGGGACCCCCACAGCUCUGAGGACCCCCCAUGACCCCCAUGACCCUGGGGACCCCCCCAAUGUCACAGUGGGACCCCCCCCAUGGCCCUGGGGACCCCCCCAAUGUCACAAUGGGACCCCCCCAAUGUCACAGUGGGACCCCCCCCAUGGCCUUGGGCACCCCCCAUGUCACAGUGGGACCCCCCCAUGACCCUGGGGACCCCCCCAAUGUCAAAUGGGGACCCCAGACCCCCCCCGGACCCCCCCCCUCCAUUUAAGGGCCCCCCCCACCCCCUUCACUGCCAAAGGGGGGAGUCCCUUAAGUGCCCCUCCCCCCCGAUUUGGGGGGGUUGUUUGAGGUGGGGGAGGGGCACAAGACCCCCCCCCGCCCAACCCCCCCAAAAACACCUCACAGUGGGGGGGGGAGGGGCGGGGACCCCCCCUUUGGACUCAGCCAAAAAAUCCCCCUCCCCCCUUCGCGCUGGAUUUUGGGGGGGGGGUCUGGACAUGGGGGGGCUGGGGGGGGGCUCUGCAGACCAAAAUUAGGGGGGGCAAGGGGGGGAUUUUGCCCCCCCCCCAGAUUUUAGACACACCCCCCCCCCACUCCCACCCUCCUUCACUCCUCCCUCCCCCCAAAAAAAUCUCUGGGGGGUUUUUUUGGGGUGAGGGUCUCAACCCCCCCCCCCAAAAUUUCUGAAUGCAUCUCACGGCGCGGCCUUGGCGACCUCACACGAGCCGGCGGGGGGGGGGCCGCACCCCGACCCCCCCCCGCCCCCCAAAACCCCCCCGGGCCCCCCCCGCACCCCAAACCCCCCCCGGGCCCCCCCCGCACCCCAAACCCCCCCUCACCUUCCCCGUGGGGGGCUCUGCACCCCAAAACCCCCCCAAAACCCUCCGGGGGGGGGGGGUCUGAACCCCAAAUCCCCCCCCAUCCCCAAAUCCCCCCCCACGGGGGGGUCUGCACCCCCCCACCCCCUCCGCGGGGGGGUCCCCACCCCAAAAAUCCCCUCCCCACGCGGGGGUCCCCACCCCAACCCCCCCCCCCCGCGCUGUGUCGUAGCUUUGUAGCCCCCCCCCCCAUGUGUGCGGUGCCCCCCCCCCCAAAAUCCCCUUUUUUGGGAAAAGAAGCGGAAAACAAAACAAAAAUCGGUCCAAAAUCGGUCCAAAGGGCCCCAAAAACGGCAGCCGAGCCCUCGCCCCUCCCCCACCUCGUGUGACCCCGACCCCCCCCCCACGUGUGACCCCCCCCGAGCGAAAACAAAAAAAACCCGCAAAAAUAAAAAAAUCCCCCCAAAAAUAUAAAAAAAAUUUAAAAAAAAGGUGGGGGGGGGGGAAAAGCCCCAAAAAUAAAGAAAAAACUGCCGGAAAA